CCUACGGGGGGCAGCAGUGGGGAAUAUUGCGCAAUGGGCGAAAGCCUGACGCAGCGACGCCGCGUGAGGGAUGAAGGUCUUCGGAUCGUAAACCUCUGUCAACAGGGAAGAACGGUCACUGUGCUAAUCAGCAGUGAAUUGACGGUACCUGCAAAGGAAGCACCGGCUAACUCCGUGCCAGCAGCCGCGGUAAUACGUAGGUGGCAAGCGUUGUCCGGAUUUACUGGGUGUAAAGGGCGUGCAGCCGGAGAGACAAGUCAGAUGUGAAAUCCACGGGCUCAACCCGUGAACUGCAUUUGAAACUGUCUCCCUUGAGUGUCGGAGAGGUAAUCGGAAUUCCUUGUGUAGCGGUGAAAUGCGUAGAUAUAAGGAAGAACACCAGUGGCGAAGGCGGAUUACUGGACGAUAACUGACGGUGAGGCGCGAAAGCGUGGGGAGCAAACAGGAUUAGAUACCCCUGUAGUC
rnacentral:rRNA from 1 species